AAUUUAAUUCUUAUCGAAUACGAUGAGCUAGAUAUGAUCACAUUACCCCAUUUUACAGAUGAGAAAGCCAAAUCACAGAAAAAUUAAAUAAUUUAUUCAAGGUCAAACAGGUAGUAAUUGGUAGAUCUAGCUGAACAUAGAUAUUCUGGUUACAGUAUCUGCAGUCUUUAUAGCUUCAUUAAUGAAAGAAUUAAAGGCAGAUAUCAGAGAAGCUGAGGUUAUAUUUUAAUGUAAAAGGGCAUAUUAUGCUUUGUUUCUUAUGAGAACCAGCCACAGAACUUGAGGCAUCUACUGGGGUGAUUAUUUAAGUGUCAGUAUUUGAAGAGUUGGAACAUUGCAGACAGACUGUGGAAGGGAAGAAGUGACAUCAAGAUUAUGACAGGAAAAUCUGAAGUCCAGGGACAAGUUGGAUGAGGACAUGGAAGAGAGCAAAGAAGAAAGUACCUUCUUCAUGCAGUGAAUCAAAAACAAGUAUGGGCUUUCAUUUGUAAGAAUUCGCAUACCUUCAGAAGGUAUAAAGGAGCCAGUAAAGAAUUGUUAGAGGGAGCCCUACUGACAAAGAAGAAAUGUUAUUGGAUAGACAUCGGCUGAGUCACAAGACUGAAACAACAACAAUAGUAUGGACCAGCUGGGGAGACAGAAACUCAGGAGAAAGCCUGACCUAUUAAAAUGUGACAUUGUACAAGCUAUGGGUAAGGGAUGAACAAGCUGCAAUGGGAACAUGGAUGAAGGAGCAACUAUGUCCACAAUUUGAAGGAAAACUUGGGCAUGACAUACUGUGUUCAUUUGUGAUUGCUCUCAAGUAUGUGGCUUCAAAAAUCUCUGUACUCCUUCGAAAAAGAAAUAUUUCACACAAUUCCCACAGAACUCCUGGGAGUCUUCCCUUAUCAAAAUCAAUGGAUUUCUCUUCAAUAUUUCAGCUACAUUGUGUCCAGGUACUUGUUCAUUUAAUUGACCUCAAAUAAAGUAAUUAUUGAAUCUCACUAUGGAUAAUUACUCUUGUCCUUGAAGAGGUUUUAAAGGGGUCACAAUUGAAACAGACUCCAUGCUGCAGGUAAAGUCCUUCCUGCCCAGCCAUACCAUGUAUAUAUUAAAAAGUAGUGGUUCCAGAUAUGCUUGGGCAUAUCACACACAUAAGCACACACACAAAUACUUUCACCACCUAAAUCUACUGAGAUGCUAUGUGAACACUAUUCAGUGUACCUUUAUAUAAGCAAUCAUUGACUAGUAAAGUGAUAC
rnacentral:lncRNA from 1 species